AAGUGGGCACACAUACCUGCAUACACAUGUAUGAUUUGCAUAUGUAAGAGCCCCUUUUGAGGACCCCCGCUCUAGUCUCGGGAGUGAGAGAGCAUCCAAAGAAACACGAGAAUCC
rnacentral:pre_miRNA from 7 species